GGACGAACGCUGGCGGCGUGCUUAACACAUGCAAGUCGAACGGAAAGGCCCUGCUUUUGUGGGGUGCUCGAGUGGCGAACGGGUGAGUAACACGUGAGUAACCUGCCCUUGACUUUGGGAUAACUUCAGGAAACUGGGGCUAAUACCGGAUAGGAGCUCCUGUUGCAUGGUGGGGGUUGGAAAGUUUCGGCGGUUGGGGAUGGACUCGCGGCUUAUCAGCUUGUUGGUGGGGUAGUGGCUUACCAAGGCUUUGACGGGUAGCCGGCCUGAGAGGGUGACCGGCCACAUUGGGACUGAGAUACGGCCCAGACUCCUACGGGAGGCAGCAGUGGGGAAUAUUGCACAAUGGGCGGAAGCCUGAUGCAGCAACGCCGCGUGCGGGAUGACGGCCUUCGGGUUGUAAACCGCUUUCGCCUGUGACGAAGCGUGAGUGACGGUAAUGGGUAAAGAAGCACCGGCUAACUACGUG
rnacentral:rRNA from 1 species